UUAACACAUGCAAGUCGAACGGAGAUUACUUUUUAGCUUGCUAUUUUGUAAUCUUAGUGGCGGACGGGUGAGUAACGCGUGGGUAACCUGCCUUAUCCAGGGGGAUAACAGUGAGAAAUUACUGCUAAUACCGCAUAAGCGCACAGAAUCGCAUGAUUCAGUGUGAAAAGAUUUAUCGGGAUAAGAUGGACCCGCGUCUGAUUAGCUAGUUGGUGAGGUAACGGCCCACCAAGGCGACGAUCAGUAGCCGGCCUGAGAGGGUGAACGGCCACAUUGGGACUGAGACACGGCCCAAACUCCUACGGGAGGCAGCAGUGGGGAAUAUUGCACAAUGGGGGAAACCCUGAUGCAGCGACGCCGCGUGAGUGAAGAAGUAUUUCGGUAUGUAAAGCUCUAUCAGCAGGGAAGAAAAUGACGGUACCUGACUAAGAAGCCCCGGCUAACUACGUGCCAGCAGCCGCGGUAAUACGUAGGGGGCAAGCGUUAUCCGGAUUUACUGGGUGUAAAGGGAGCGUAGACGGCAUGGCAAGUCUGAAGUGAAAUGCGGGGGCUCAACCCCUGAACUGCUUUGGAAACUGUUAAGCUAGAGUGUCGGAGAGGUAAGUGGAAUUCCUAGUGUAGCGGUGAAAUGCGUAGAUAUUAGGAGGAACACCGGUGGCGAAGGCGGCUUACUGGACGAUGACUGACGUUGAGGCUCGAAAGCGUGGGGAGCAAACAGGAUUAGAUACCCUGGUAGUCCACGCCGUAAACGAUGAUUACUAGGUGUUGGGAGGGCUAUAGCCUUUCGGUGCCGUCGCAAACGCAAUAAGUUAAUCCACCUGAGGGAGUACGUUCGCAAGAAUGAAACUCA
rnacentral:rRNA from 1 species